GUACUCGCUUCAGCAGCACAUAUACUAAAAUUGGAAUGAUACAGAGAAGUAUGGCCCCUGUGCAAGGAUGACACGCAAAUGCGUGAAGCAUUCCAUAUUUAA